rnacentral:rRNA from 1 species
GACAGAGGGUGCAAACGUUGUUCGGAAUUACUGGGCGUAAAGCGAGUGUAGGCGGUUUGGUAAGUCGGAUGUGAAAGCCCCGGGCUCAACCCGGGAAGUGCACUCGAUACUGCCAAGCUAGAGUGUCGGAGAGGUUGGUGGAAUUCUCGGUGUAGAGGUGAAAUUCGUAGAUAUCGAGAGGAACACCGGUGGCGAAGGCGGCCCCCUGGACCGGUACUGACGCUGAGGCGCGAAAGCGUGGGUAGCAAACGGG